GACGUAGGGCGCGAGCGUUGUCCGGAUUUAUUGGGCGUAAAGAGCUCGUAGGCGGCUUGUCGCGUCGACCGUGAAAACUUGGGGCUCAACCCCAAGCCUGCGGUCGAUACGGGCAGGCUCGAGUUCGGUAGGGGAGACUGGAAUUCCUGGUGUAGCGGUGAAAUGCGCAGAUAUCAGGAGGAACACCGAUGGCGAAGGCAGAUCUCUGGGCCGUAACUGACGCUGAGGAGCGAAAGCAUGGGGAGCGAACAGG
rnacentral:rRNA from 1 species